rnacentral:rRNA from 1 species
UUGAUCCUGGCUCAGGACGAACGCUGGCGGCGUGCCUAACACAUGCAAGUUGAGCGGAGAUAUAUGGAGCUUGCUUUAUAUAACUUAGCAGCGAACGGGUGAGUAACACGUAGAUAAUCUAUCCUAUACUGGGGGGAUAGCCCGAUGAAAGUUGGAUUAAUACCGCAUAUAGCUAUAUAGUUGCAUGAUUAUGUAGUGAAAGAUUUAUUGGUAUAGGAGGAGUCUGCGGCACAUUAGCUAGUAGGUGAGGUAAAGGCUUACCUAGGCGACGAUGUGUAGCCGGUCUGAGAGGAUGAACGGCCACAAUGGAACUGAGACACGGUCCAUACUCCUACGGGAGGCAGCAGUGGGGAAUAUUGCACAAUGGGGGAAACCCUGAUGCAGCAACGCCGCGUGAGUGAAGAAGGUUUUCGGAUUGUAAAGCUCUGUUAGCAGGGAAGAGGAAGGACGGUACCUGCAGAGGAAGCCACGGCUAACUACGUGCCAGCAGCCGCGGUAAUACGUAGGUGGCAAGCGUUGUUCGGAAUAACUGGGCGUAAAGGAUGCGUAGGCGGUUAAACAAGUUAUAUGUUAAAUAUAUAGGCUUAACCUGUAGAAAGCAUAUAAAACUGUUUAACUAGAGUGCAGGAGAGGUAAGUGGAAUUCCUAGUGUAGCGGUGAAAUGCGUAGAGAUUAGGAAGAACACCAGUGGCGAAGGCGACUUACUGGACUGUAACUGACGCUGAGGCAUGAGAGCAUGGGGAGCAAACAGGAUUAGAUACCCUGGUAGUCCAUGCUGUAAACGAUGGGUACUAGGUGUGGGUUGUGAAUAACAAUUCGUGCCGUCGCAAACGCAAUAAGUACCCCGCCUGAGGAGUACGAUCGCAAGAUUAAAACUCAAAGGAAUUGACGGGGACCCGCACAAGCAGCGGAGCAUGUGGUUUAAUUCGAAGCAACGCGAAGAACCUUACCUAAACUUGACAUACCUUGAAUUACCUUGUAAUGAGGGAAGCUCGCAAGAGCAAGGAUACAGGUGGUGCAUGGUUGUCGUCAGCUCGUGUCGUGAGAUGUUGGGUUAAGUCCCGCAACGAGCGCAACCCUUGUUGUUAAUUGCUAACAGGUUAAGCUGAGCACUUUAGCGAGACAGCCUAGGUUAACUAGGAGGAAGGUGGGGAUGACGUCAAAUCAUCAUGCCCCUUACGUUUAGGGCUACACACGUGCUACAAUGGUGAGAACAGAGAGAAGCAAGCUAGUGAUAGUGAGCAAAACUUAUAAAACUCAUCUCAGUUCGGAUUGCAGGCUGAAACUCGCCUGUAUGAAGAUGGAGUUGCUAGUAAUCGCGAAUCAGAAUGUCGCGGUGAAUACGUUCCCGGGUCUUGUACACACCGCCCGUCACACCAUGAGAGUUGGCAACACCCGAAACCUGUGGGCUAACCAUAUAGGAGGCAGCAGUCUAAGGUGGGGUCAGUGAUUGGGGUGAAGUCGUAACAAGGUAGCCGUAGGAGAACCUGCGGCUGGAUCACCUCCUUUCUAAGGAAAGAAAGAAGUGGAUAACUUUUUCCUAUUCAAUUGUGAGUGACCUAUAAUUGGAAGGUUACUUAAGGAUAUAGAUCUUUGAAAAUUGUAUAUAAAUAGUAAAGAUGCGAAAGGUAGCAAGUUAAAUUAUUAGCAAUAGUAAUUUAAGAGCUGGAAGAAUAUAGAAAGAAAAAUAGGUCAAGCUACUAAGAGCGCACAGAGGAUGACUUGGCAUCAGGAGCUGAUGAAGGACGUGAUAAGCUGCGAUAAGCUACGGGUAGACGCAAAUAGUCAUGGAUCCGUAGAUUUCCGAAUGGGGGAACCCACAUAGUGAGAGACUAUGUAUCUAGUAAUGAAUUAAUAGUUAUUAGAAGGUAGACGCAGGGAACUGAAACAUCUAAGUACCUGUAGGAAGAGAAAGAAAUAUCGAUUCCCUAAGUAGUGGCGAGCGAAAGGGGAAGAGCCCAAACCCAAGGAAACUUGGGGGUUGAGGGGGUCUAUAAUUGAGAAAGUAGGUUAGAUGAAUAUAGAUGGAAAUCUAAGCCGAAGAGUGUAAUAGCCACGUAAUUUAAAACUGAAAUUGAGAGAGACUUACCCAGAGUACCACGAGACACGAGGAACCUUGUGGGAAGCAGGGUGGACCACCACCCAAGGCUAAAUACUACCUGAUGACCGAUAGAGGAGUAGUACCGUGAGGGAAAGGUGAAAAGAACCCCGGGAGGGGAGUGAAAUAGAACCUGAAACUGUGUGCUUACAACCGCUCAGAGCACGUAAUAUGUGUGAUGAGGUGCUUUUUGUAGAACGAGCCAACGAGUUACGAUGUGUAGCGAGAUUAAGGUCUUAAGGACUGUAGUCGAAGAGAAAUCGAGUGUUAAUAGCGCGAAUAGUUGCAUGUUGUAGACCCGAAACCGGGUGACCUAUCCAUGAUCAGGUUGAAGCGAAGGUAAAACUUCGUGGAGGACCGAACCACGUUGGUGUUGAAAAACCAUGGGAUGAAUUGUGGAUAGCGGAGAAAUUCCAAUCGAACUCGGAGAUAGCUGGUUCUCCCCGAAAUAGCUUUAGGGCUAGCGUUAAUACAUAGAAUAUAGGAGGUAGAGCACUAAAUGGGCUAGGGGCCGUAAGGUUACCGAACCUUAUUAAACUCCGAAUGCCUAUAUUUGUUUAUUAGCAGUCAGUCUAAGAGUGAUAAGAUUCUUGGACAAAAGGGAAAAAGCCCAGAUCACCAGCUAAGGUCCCAAAGUAUGAGUUAAGUGGUAAAGGAUGUGGAGAUUCUAAGACAACUAGGAUGUUGGCUUAGAAGCAGCCAUUCAUUUAAAGAGUGCGUAAUAGCUCACUAGUCGAGAGUUUCUGCGCCGAAGAUAAACGGGGCUAAAACUCAUCACCGAAGCUGUGGAAUGGA